AAUUUUGUUCAUGUCUGCCUCAUAAUAUCAAAAAAUUAAUGUAGUUAAGAUCAAUCCGAAUUGUUUAAAUCAUCUCUGUCAUUUGUGGACUACUUAAGAUGCUUAGUCUGAUAAAAACGACCCAUUCUCUAUUCGACAUGCCUUGACAAGAAGCGUUUGGAGGUCAUCAGUUGACUUUGAACAAAUGAAAUGUUGACCAAUCAACGUUGCACAAACCUAUUUUAUAAAGCGUUGGAAGAAAGUGAAGCUAUUCAAUGCAAAAAAUGAAAUAGUCACUGACAGCUAAGCAAAAAAGUAUUGCAACACAUAAAUUCCCCAGAAACACCCCCCCCCCCUAAAAAAAAUAACCCCAACUGUACGGAUAUCUACUCGGAACGCAGAUUGAAAGCUUGCAUGUAAGAUAAUUUUUGGACAACGCAAAAGUAUGAAAACUAUUUGCAUUCUGACCGACGUGUGUGAGUUUUUAACUUAAUUGUUAUAUAAGAACCCCAUUGGAAAUACGCUUUUUAACAAGGCUUUCAUGGGCUCUCCUUAGGUAAUAUUCAUCAUUUGUAAGUCAUGAAGUCAUGUAAUCUACAUGUAUAUAGAAAUAAUUGAACAAAUUGAUUCUUAUGAAGUUGCAAAGUGCUGAGAUAUUUGUUUUUCUAAUUGUUAUAUUUUAUAUGUGAAACCAUGGCAUUUUGUGAUAUAUUUAUGUGAAUAAAAUGAAAUGAAAU
rnacentral:misc_RNA from 1 species